AUUGAACGCUGGCGGAAUGCUUUACACAUGCAAGUCGAACGGCAGCACGGGGCAACCUGGUGGCGAGUGGCGAACGGGUGAGUAAUACAUCGGAACGUGCCCAGUCGUGGGGGAUAACGUAGCGAAAGUUACGCUAAUACCGCAUACGAUCUAUGGAUGAAAGCGGGGGAUCGCAAGACCUCGCGCGAUUGGAGCGGCCGAUGUCAGAUUAGGUAGUUGGUGGGUAAAGGCCUACCAAGCCGACGAUCUGUAGCUGGUCUGAGAGGACGACCAGCCACACUGGGACUGAGACACGGCCCAGACUCCUACGGGAGGCAGCAGUGGGGAAUUUUGGACAAUGGGCGCAAGCCUGAUCCAGCCAUUCCGCGUGCAGGAUGAAGGCCCUCGGGUUGUAAACUGCUUUUGUACGGAACGAAAAGGCUCUGGUUAAUACCCGGGGCUCAUGACGGUACCGUAAGAAUAAGCACCGGCUAACUACGUGCCAGCAGCCGCGGUAAG
rnacentral:rRNA from 1 species